GUAUAGAGAAGUGUUGUCCCUGUCCAUUGCAAUAGGUCCUGUAUAGAGAAGUGUUGUCCCUGUCCAUUGCAAUAGGUCCUGUAUAGAGAAGUGUUGUCCCUGUCCAUUGCAAUAGGUCCUGUAUAGAGAAGUGUUGUCCCUGUCCAUUGCAAUAGGUCCUGUAUAGAGAAGUGUUGUCCCUGUCCAUUGCAAUAGGUCCUGUAUAGAGAAGUGUUGUCCCUGUCCAUUGCAAUAGGUCCUGUAUAGAGAAGUGUUGUCCCUGUCCAUUGCAAUAGGUCCUGUAUAGAG